rnacentral:rRNA from 1 species
GAUCAGUGGCUCGAGGACGAACGCUGGCGGCGUGCCUAACACAUGCAAGUCGAACGAGGUCCAUCCUUCGGGAGAAGACCUAGUGGCGAACGGGUGAGUAACACGUGAAGAACCUGCCCCGAAGACCGGGAUAACCCUCCGAAUGGAGAGCUAAUACCGGAUACCCCCACCGAACCGCAUGGUUUGGUGAGGAAAUGGAUUCCGCUUCGGGAGGGCUUCGCGGCCUAUCAGCUAGUUGGUGGGGUAACGGCCCACCAAGGCAUCGACGGGUAGCUGGUCUGAGAGGACGAUCAGCCACACUGGGACUGAGACACGGCCCAGACUCCUACGGGAGGCAGCAGUGGGGAAUCUUGCGCAAUGGGCGAAAGCCUGACGCAGCAACGCCGCGUGGGGAUGAAGGCUCUCGGGUUGUAAACCCCUUUCAGCAGGGACGAAUCAAGACGGUACCUGCAGAAGAAGCCCCGGCUAACUACGUG